GGCCGCUUAGCUCAGUUGGUUAGAGCGUGGUGCUAAUAUGUCGGGGUUAAGCCCUAAAUUACACGCCAAGGUCUUGGGUUCUACCCCCACAGUGGCCA